rnacentral:lncRNA from 1 species
AAAGAUUGGUGGUUAGCCUUGAUAUGAGAGGCUUAACCUUCAUUGAUUUAAAUCAAAUUCAUCUUGAUCAAUGAUCAAGUGAAUUGCUUUGCAUUAAGGAUAGGUUGCUUCUUGGUCAAGCAAAAAACCUAAAUCAAUACAAGGUCAUUCUUCUUUUCUUUUGGCAUGGCAAGUUGUAGGAGCUUGGCUUACUAGUCAUGAUCUCUAACUUAUGUUUGUUGCCUAUAGUUUUAUUGACCGGCCUCGGAUAGGU